rnacentral:rRNA from 1 species
CCUACGGGCGGCAGCAGUGAGGAAUAUUGGUCAAUGGGCGGGAGCCUGAACCAGCCAAGUCGCGUGAGGGAAGACGGUCCUACGGAUUGUAAACCUCUUUUGCCGGGGAGCAAAGGGGUCCUUGCGAGGGCCCAAGGAGAGUACCCGGAGAAAAAGCAUCGGCUAACUCCGUGCCAGCAGCCGCGGUAAUACGGCGGAUGCGAGCGUUAUCCGGAUUUAUUGGGUUUAAGGGGUGCGUAGGCGGGCGGUUAAGUCAGCGGUCAAAUGUCGGGGCUCAACCCCGGCCUGCCGUUGAAACUGGCGGCCUCGAGUGGGCGAGACGUAUGCGGAAUGCGUGGUGUAGCCGU